rnacentral:lncRNA from 1 species
GGAGAUUUUUAGCAGUAACAGGAGUACUUUGGCCAAGGAUUUCCAACAGUAGCAAUGACACGAGGGUGGCAAACCCACUGCCCAGUGGGUCAGCUCCAGACAUUUUGCCUUGGUUUCAACUCUCUGUCCCAGAACAUGAAGGUCAUUGGUAGAGCAGGUAACUCUUGAGGGAGGCUGGCAGCGGCAGGGUAGGGAUCUCAUUCAGUCUUUCCUUGCCCAGAGCAAGCCUCACAGCUCGCCGACACAAGUCCAUCAGAGGCAGUGGUUCAGGGUCAAGUCCAUUCAAGUAGCGCAUCCUUAUUUCAC